CACGUAGGGUGCGAGCGUUGUCCGGAAUUAUUGGGCGUAAAGAGCUCGUAGGCGGUUUGUCGCGUCGGCCGUGAAAACCUGCAGCUUAACUGUGGGCGUGCGGUCGAUACGGGCAUCACUGGAGUUCGGCAGGGGAGACUGGAAUUCCUGGUGUAGCGGUGAAAUGCGCAGAUAUCAGGAGGAACACCGGUGGCGAAGGCGGGUCUCUGGGCCGAUACUGACGCUGAGGAGCGAAAGCCUGGGGAGCGAACAGG
rnacentral:rRNA from 1 species